AGAUGGCGACCGGCGCACGGGUGAGUAACACGUAUCCAACCUGCCGAUAACUCGGGGAUAGCCUUUCGAAAGAAAGAUUAAUACCCGAUGGCAUAAUAGAACCGCAUGGUUUGAUUAUUAAAGAAUUUCGGUUAUCGAUGGGGAUGCGUUCCAUUAGGCAGUUGGUGGGGUAACGGCCCACCAAACCUUCGAUGGAUAGGGGUUCUGAGAAGAAGGUCCCCCACAUUGGAACUGAGGCACGGUCCAA
rnacentral:rRNA from 1 species